UACGUAGGGGGGCUAGCGUUGUCCGGAAUCAUUGGGCGUAAAGCGCGUGUAGGCGGUCCGCUAAGUCUGAUGUGAAAGCCCCGGGGCUCACCCCCCGGAAGGGCAUUGGAAACUGGCGGACUCGAGUCUCGGAGAGGAAGGUGGAAUUCCUGGUGUAGCGGUGAAAUUCGUAGAUAUCGGGAGGAACACCGGUGGCGAAGGCGGCGACCUGGGUCGAGACUGACGCUGAGGCGCGAGAGCGUGGGGAGCAAACAGG
rnacentral:rRNA from 1 species